GACGAACGCUGGCGGCGUGCCUAACACAUGCCAGUCGAACGGAAAGGCCCUGCUUUUGUGGGGUGCUCGAGUGGCGAACGGGUGAGUAACACGUGAGUAACCUGCCCUUGACUUUGGGAUAACUUCAGGAAACUGGGGCUAAUACCGGAUAGGAGCUCCUGCUGCAUGGUGGGGGUUGGAAAGUUUCGGCGGUUGGGGAUGGACUCGCGGCUUAUCAGUUUGUUGGUGGGGUAGUGGCUUACCAAGGCUUUGACGGGUAGCCGGCCUGGGAGGGUGACCGGCCACAUUGGGACUGAGGUACGGCCCAGACUCCUACGGGAGGCAGCAGUGGGAAAUCUUACGCAGUGGGCGCACGCCUGUUGCAGCAGCGCCGCGUGCGGGAUGACGGCCUUCUGGUUGUAAACCGCUUUCGCCUGUGACGAAGCGUGAGUGACGGUAAUGGAUGAAGAAGCACCGGCUAACUACGUG
rnacentral:rRNA from 1 species